UUCGGACUUGGGUGGCGCACGGGUGAGUAACGCGUAAAGAACUUGCCUCUUAGACCGGGACAACAUCUGGAAACGGAUGCUAAUACCGGAUAUUAUGGUUUUUUCGCAUGGAGGAAUCAUGAAAGCUGGAUGCGCUAAGAGAGAGCUUUGCGUCCCAUUAGCUAGUUGGUGAGGUAACGGCCCACCAAGGCAAUGAUGGGUAGCCGGCCUGAGAGGGUGAACGGCCACAAGGGGACUGAGACACGGCCCUUACUC
rnacentral:rRNA from 1 species